rnacentral:rRNA from 1 species
AUGGCUCAGAUUGAACGCUGGCGGCAGGCCUAACACAUGCAAGUCGAACGGUAACAGGAAACAGCUUGCUGUUUCGCUGACGAGUGGCGGACGGGUGAGUAAUGUCUGGGAAACUGCCUGAUGAGGGGGAUAACUACUGGAAACGGUAGCUAAUACCGCAUAACGUCGCAAGACCAAAGAGGGGGGACCCUCGGGCCUCUUGCCAUCGGAUGUGCCCAGAUGGGAUUAGCUUGUUGGUGGGGUAACGGCUCACCAAGGCGACGAUCCCUAGCUGGUCUGAGAGGAUGACCAGCCACACUGGAACUGAGACACGGUCCAGACUCCUACGGGAGGCAGCAGUGGGGAAUAUUGCACAAUGGGCGCAAGCCUGAUGCAGCCAUGCCGCGUGUAUGAAGAAGGCCUUCGGGUUGUAAAGUACUUUCAGCGGGGAGGAAGGGAGUAAAGUUAAUACCUUUGCUCAUUGACGUUACCCGCAGAAGAAGCACCGGCUAACUCCGUG